rnacentral:rRNA from 1 species
ACAUCCAGCGAACUUGGCAGAGAUGCCUUGGUGCCUUCGGGAACGCUGAGACAGGUGCUGCAUGGCUGUCGUCAGCUCGUGUUGUGAAAUGUUGGGUUAAGUCCCGCAACGAGCGCAACCCUUAUCCUUUGUUGCCAGCGAUUCGGUCGGGAACUCAAAGGAGACUGCCGGUGAUAAACCGGAGGAAGGUGGGGAUGACGUCAAGUCAUCAUGGCCCUUACGAGUAGGGCUACACACGUGCUACAAUGGCGCAUACAAAGAGAAGCGACCUCGCGAGAGCAAGCGGACCUCAUAAAGUGCGUCGUAGUCCGGAUCGGAGUCUGCAACUCGACUCCGUGAAGUCGGAAUCGCUAGUAGUCGUGGAUCAGAAUGCCACGGUGAAUACGUUCCCGGGCCUUGUACACACCGCCCGUCACACCAUGGGAGUGGGUUGCAAAAGAAGUAGGUAGCUUAACCUUCGGGAGGGCGCUUACCACUUUGUGAUUCAUGACUGGGGUGAAGUCGUAACAAGGUAGGCGUAGCGAG